UCCUUAGAUGUUCUGGGCCGCACGCGCGCUACACUGACGAUGGCAACGAGUUUUUCCUUCGCCGAAAGGUGUGGGUAAUCUUUUGAAACAUCGUCGUGCUGGGGAUAGAUCAUUGCAAUUUUUGAUCUUGAACGAGGAAUUCCUAGUAAGCGCGAGUCAUCAGCUCGCGUUGAUUACGUCCCUGCCCUUUGUACACACCGCCCGUCGCUACUACCGAUUGAAUGGUUUAGUGAGGACUCCUGAUUGGCGCCGCCGCCCCGGCAACGGAGCAGCGGACUGCCGAAAAGUUGUUCAAACUUGAUCAUUUAGAGGAAGUAAAAGUCGUAACA
rnacentral:rRNA from 1 species